ACAUUCAUAACAUACGAUAACAUCAGGACCACCCCCUAGCAUCAGGGGGUUUAGCCUCUCAUAGUACUUAAAGAAUUCAUAAAGUAAAGAUUAGACAUUACAAAGAAUUAGGAGAAUUUGAUCUUCAAUGGUGGCUACCGUUGAAUCUCGCCGUCUUCGAAUCCGUUGUAUUUGCUAUCUUCUCCACGGUAAUGCUUUCGUUCGUC
rnacentral:lncRNA from 1 species